rnacentral:pre_miRNA from 7 species
UCUUUGGAGACAUGGGUGAUCACGCCGAUCCUGGAUGAGCCCCCAAAUGAAAAACUCCAAAAGGAGCCCCUCGCUCAGGCCUCAGGACAAUAACAGACACCCAAGAACUCACGAUAGACC